rnacentral:rRNA from 1 species
UACGAAGGGGGCGAGCGUUGUUCGGAUUUACUGGGCGUAAAGGGCGCGUAGGCGGCGGGUCAAGUCGAGUGUGAAAGCCCCGGGCUCAACCUGGGAAUUGCGCUCGAGACUGGUCUGCUUGAGUUCGGGAGAGGAGAGUGGAAUUCCCAGUGUAGAGGUGAAAUUCGUAGAUAUUCGGAAGAACACCAGUGGCGAAGGCGACUUACUGGACACAUAUUGACGCUGAGGUGCGAAAGCGUGGGGAGCAAACAGG